rnacentral:tRNA from 1 species
GCCGGAGUGGCGAAACGGGCAGACGCAGGGGACUUAAAAUCCCCCGGAGCAAUCCAUCCGGGUUCGAAUCCCGGCUCCGGCA